rnacentral:misc_RNA from 1 species
GAGAAUUGUACCAAAAACAAUAUGGACAACCCAUCCAUAUCCCACCUUGUGUGCACCCAUUGAAACCAUGCUUUGGGAGGUUUCUCCUCUGUUGGAAUUGGAGAUACUCAAGCCUCCCAAGGUUUUUGUUCUCGCAACACUUUUUUUUUUUUUUUUUUUCCUGAAAAAUCAAACAUAAUAAUAAUAAAUA